UAAAACCUCGACAAACCGGCGACGGUGUGUAAACAGUCGGAGCUGUGGUGAUGCAUGCCGAAAUUGGCUCAUCCGGAGCAGAGGUAUCUCACUCGCUUUCUCUCUUCUCUCGUUUCGUCUCACUGUUUACCUUUUCCGUGACUACUAAGCGUGAUUGUGAUUUUGAUCUCCUUAAUUUGAAUUUAUAGUUCUCUGGAUAGUCUCUGGUGAAGUGAAGUGUAUGGAGAGUUCUGAGGAAGAUUUUGAUGAUUCCGAUGAAUGGAGUUUCUAGUGGUAUGUGAGCUUCUUUGGGAUCAGAUUAGGAAUCAGAAUUCUCAUUUUGAGCAUUUUCAUUCCUUUUAGUAUCUCUCCUAAUCAUUUUUGGCAUCUAACCUUUUUCUGAAGGAUGGGAAGCUGGCCACGCUAAAAUACAAGCAGAUACAUUUAUCUUUUAUGUUACAUCCUUUCAACUGUGAACCACACUUAAGUCUUAUUAGCAGAGGCUUCAUUAGCUUGAAAGUUGAAAACCAAAUCAUAAUCAUGGUUUCCUUAAUUGAACCACCCAGGAAUUGGUAACUCAGUGCUGUUGUGGCAGGAUGUCACAAAUGUUCCCGUGCUACACUUGUAUAAUCAUUUUGGAGGCAAGAAAACAAAACUGCCUGAGAUGGUAGGCUCCUCUUAGAUCGAUUUAAUCGGACAGGAGCAGCUUCAACUUCCUGUAAACCAGAAAGCUCGUAACUUGCUUGCAGAUGUUGAAACCAAGUCGGUCUUUUCUUAUUUGAGCAGUCACAUCAGCGUGAAAUUACUGUGCUUAUUCACUUUAAGUUCAAUUGUGCUGUUUUACAGUAUGUCGUGUCCAAUCUUUUGCACCGGUGGUUGAAAUUUUUUGCUGACUGCCUGCUUGAAGGCAACCUCACAGAGGGAGCCAGCAACCACGAUAAAAAUAAUCGGUAUAACUAAGGCCA
rnacentral:lncRNA from 1 species